UACGUAGGGUGCAAGCGUUAAUCGGAAUUACUGGGCGUAAAGCGUGCGCAGGCGGUUCUAUAAGACAGAUGUGAAAUCCCCGGGCUCAACCUGGGAACUGCAUUUGUGACUGUAGAGCUGGAGUGCGGCAGAGGGGGAUGGAAUUCCGCGUGUAGCAGUGAAAUGCGUAGAUAUGCGGAGGAACACCGAUGGCGAAGGCAGCCCCCUGGGCUAACACUGACGCUCAGGCACGAAAGCGUGGGGAGCAAACAGG
rnacentral:rRNA from 1 species